rnacentral:lncRNA from 1 species
CACCGCCACCUCGCUCGACUCCACAUUGCUGAAGCAGGAGUGGCCGGAAGCGCGGGAGUACCGAGCGACGGAGCAGAAUUCGCCGACGACGGCUCGGUCUGGUGAUGAAUUCAACGAAGUCGUCGGAGAGACCGCCUUUAAAUCGGGAGGCGGCGAGAAGCGCCGAAGCUCGUCGGAAUUUGUGAAGGAAUCGGGACGAGGAGAGCUCAAUCUCGUCGAUUCAGCUGAGCUGAGCUUAUCAUCGGCGCCGGUCUUCGUUUUCUUUGAGCAGCCGGCCGAAGAUUCAAUUCCUCCGUCUGAUCGUUUGCAAUUCCUCGAAGAAUCCUCCAUUGUUUUUGUUCUCUCUUAGCUUUCUUCUAAAACAGCUUUUCCAAAUUUGCGGAUUCUGAAAUUUCUCGGCUUUGUUUGUUUCUGUUUCCUCUGGCUGGUUUACGAAGAGAGAGAAGGUAGGGGAAGUGGAAAAAGUAAAUAGCAAUGGCCGCGGGAACGUGAACCGUUGAUCAGAUCUACGGUUAAAAUUCGAUCCUAUUUGGCAGCUAUCCAUGUGCUAGCUUACUUAAUGGUGAGAUUACA